GUGCUCACUUCGGCAGCACAUAUACUAAAACUGGCAUGACAUGAAGAAGAAGAACACGCUCCUUGUGAAAAGAUGGUACACAAAUUCAUGAAGCAUUCCAUAUUUUU
ensembl:snRNA U6 U6 spliceosomal RNA